GCUUAAAGGAAGUUUGGAGAUUAUCCAUUCCAAUCCAUGAAUAUUUAUAGAUGAGGAAACUGAAGGCCAGAGAGGGGGAGAGUCUUGGCCAAGGAAAUUAUGUAACUGUAAAGGUGUGAUCUGCUGUAGAAGAGAGUUUUUGAAAGCCUGCCUAACCCUUUCUCAUGGUUUCAUCAAGAACACCUCAAGACAUAUAGAGGCCAUUCCUACAAAGAUUCUGUAAAGAUGAGAAAGGAGGCCUCUUAGAAAUAAAAUCAGAAGACAUAAAGAAGUUGCAGCUAAACAGAAGAAUGAUUCCACAGGUUCCCCUGGGAACAUCACUAAGAGAGGUGACAGCAACCAAAGAGAACAAGAAAAACCAUUUCAUGGAACAUGUGGCCAUCUCAUAUUGCAGUGCUUGUAAUCAAUAUUUGUGAAGAUGACCAUAAGGAAGAUAAUUGCAUCUAAGUUCCAUAAAAAAACAAACAAACUUGAUAAAACAUUCCCAGCCAAAUUAACUUACAUGGCUUUAGAGCAGAAGUAUAUACUUACUAGGCAGA